rnacentral:tRNA from 1 species
GUUCGGAUAGCUCAGUCGGUGACAGGGGAUUGAAAAUCGUGUCCUUGGUUCGAUUCCGAGUCCGGGCACCA